rnacentral:rRNA from 1 species
AUUGAACUCUGGCGGCAGGCUUAACAAAUGCAAGUCGAGCGAGCGGCGGACGGGUGAGUAAUGUCUGGGAAACUGCCUGAUGGAGGGGGAUAAAUACUGGAAACGGUAGCUAAUACCGCAUACCCUCAGAUGUGCCCAGAUGGGAUUAGCUAGUAGGGUGGGUAAUGGCUCACGUAGGCGACGAUCCCUAGCUGGUCUGGAAGGAUGAACAGCCACACGGGAACUGAGACACGGUCCAGACUCCUACGGUAGGCAGUAGUGGGGAAUAUUGAACAAUGGGCGCAAGCCUGAUGCAGCCAUGCCGCGUGUGUGAAGAAGGCCUUCGGGUUGUAAAGCACUUUCAGCGAGGAGGCGUUACUCGCAGAAGAAGCACCGGCUAACUCCGUGCCAGCAGCCGCGGUAAUUC